rnacentral:rRNA from 1 species
AUUGAACGCUGGCGGCAGGCCUAACACAUGCAAGUCGAACGGUAACAGGAAGAAGCUUGCUUCUUUGCUGACGAGUGGCGGACGGGUGAGUCAUGUCUGGGAAACUGCCUGAUGGAGGGGGAUAACUACUGGAAACGGUAGCUAAUACCGCAUAACGUCGCAAGACCAAAGAGGGGGACCUUCGGGCCUCUUGCCAUCGGAUGUGCCCAGAUGGGAUUAGCUAGUAGGUGGGGUAACGGCUAACCUAGGCGACGAUCCCUAGCUGGUCUGAGAGGAUGACCAGCCACACUGGAACUGAGACACGGUCCAGACUCCUACGGGAGGCAGCAGUGGGGAAUAUUGCACAAUGGGCGCAAGCCUGAUGCAGCCAUGCCGCGUGUAUGAAGAAGGCCUUCGGGUUGUAAAGUACUUUCAGCGGGGAGGAAGGGAGUAAAGUUAAUACCUUUACUCAUUGACGUUACCCGCAGAAGAAGCACCGGCUAACUCCGUG